UACGUAGGGGGCGAGCGUUGUUCGGAAUUACUGGGCGUAAAGGGCGUGUAGGCGGCGCGGUAAGUUGGACGUGAAAUCCCCGGGCUUAACUCGGGGGGGUCGUUCAAAACUGCCGUGCUAGAGUGUGGGAGAGGGAAGUGGAAUUCCCGGUGUAGCGGUGAAAUGCGUAGAUAUCGGGAAGAACACCUGUGGCGAAGGCGGCUUCCUGGCCCACAACUGACGCUGAGGCGCGAAAGCUAGGGGAGCAAACAGG
rnacentral:rRNA from 1 species